AAGAGGAGGGUAAGAAUAGCGGUGCACACAGUCACGUUGCCUAUGUGCUGAGUGGUAAGAGCUGGUAGCGGUGAACAUUCCUUUGCCUGCACCGCGACCACACCCACACCGUCCCAUAGGUGCCUGCCCCGCUUUUUUUUUGCGUGUACCACGCCUUCGACUGGCAUUGUAGUGUAGGUGCCAGAGAGGGAGGUUUAUCAGAGUAGAAAGAAAGGUGAGUAAGACUGCACCGCACAGGCAAGGUGAUCCCGUUUGUCUUUGCUUUCAGUCUUGCCUGCUCUCACGCGCGCAAUCUCUGACUGCUUCUCUUAUCUGACCCACGCUCAUCUGCCCUGCGGCGUUGUUACAAUUUCGAAGCCUGCCAAGCAAAAAUACGCGCAUUUUGUGCCGUACGGAGCGGCUCUUCACAGAGAUCGUUUCAAGCGUUUUUCUUCUCUUCUGUCGUUGUCAACUCCCUACAUUGUCCCCCCCCUCCUUUCACUCAGAUUUUCUGAUCCCACACUCAAUGCUGCGACGGUCACACGCGACGCUGCGCCGAAAAGCGUCGGUCGUGUUAAAGGGCCAACUGAACCCCCUUGAAGCGCUCACACAGAUACAACUAGGCAUGACACCGUCGCUUCCAAUCCAACGCGGCUUCCUGCUGGAGCACUGCGAGCGGCAGCUGGAGAGUCUCGGUAUCACUGAGGGGAAGCUCCUGGCCAUGGAUGGGCGGUUGUGCACUCAGCUCACGAAGAGGAUUGUGUACGAGCUGUACCUCUCUGUCCCGUUCCGCGUUUUCACAUUUGACAUGGAGUUUACUGGGCCGCCGGUGUUUACGGCAGAUGGACCGACGGAGGACAUCACGGAGCUGGGACUGUACUCACCGCUUCUCGACGAAACGUUUUCAUGCCUCGUUCAACCUGUCUGCGGCCGCAAGCAGGGCCCGGGUGUCGAGGAGCUGACGCACAUUACGGACAUGAUGCUGGAAAAGGAGGGUAUCCCGUUUGUUGAGGCGUGGCAGCAGUUUCUUAAUUUUGUCCAGACACCGCAGCCAGACGAGAUUUCUGGCUCCGAGGAGCGCAUCCUGCUGCUUUCCCACGGUGGAAAGCUGGCGGAUGUGUCGCUGAUCAAGUGGACACUCGAGAAGUUCCACAUGGAGCUGCCGCCCAGUUUUGUCUUCGGCGACACAAUUCACCUCAUUCGCGAUGCACACCGUCGACGUCCUGUCACCAUAGAUAAGCAUCCGCCGUCGUGGAAGCUUGUGGAUCUCGUGCAGUGGCUGCACAUCCCUCCAACGCUACCGGCGCAUCGGGCCGGCAACGACGCUCGUAUGACGUGGGACGCUCUGUAUCACACUCUGCUUCGCUACGGCGACGAUGAAAUGGCGCCGCGCGAGCAGCUCGUGCCGCGCUUUUUCGACGCGGAGGCGAAGCAGCUCUUGCGCGAGCACACAGCGCGGCAGGCGCAGGAAAGGGCCGCGCUUAGCUUGGAUGACACGUUCCUCUUGGCCGAUGUGUCGCACUCCGCUUCAGCGGGGCACGCAGACAGCAGCAGUAUCGGUUACUCCGCGUAUCGUAGCGCUUCGGAUGGCUCUGGCAAGCCUUGCAAGAGUGGAGCAGCGACGGAUUUGCUCGAUCUCGACUUUGACGACAUCUUUAGUGAACAGAAUAAGGUGAGCGCCAGUGCACCUAUUGAGGAGUUCAAGCUGGAUGACGAUGAUGAUCUUCACAGCAUUUCCGCUGGAGCAAGUAGCUUUACCGCUUCUCGAACGCUGUCAUCGACGACCACGAGCCGCGCUGCAGCUCUCUCCAUCGACGCGGCAGAAGAUGAUGAUGCUGUGAGCGACGUGAACGCGGCAUCAACACCCACAGUGUCGCCGGAUCGGGCAGCGAAGAAGGCCACCUCAGGUGGGAGAAAAGGCAAGGCGUCAGGCUCGUCCCGCAGCAAGGAGGCUGCUGAGAAGAGAAACAAGCGCCGUGGCAGCGCCGGUGACGACGACGGUGAGGAGGCGAGUGACCCUCCCGCUGCCGCUACUCGCGCCGUUUUCCUUGUAUGAGGCGUAUCAAGAAAGGUCUUUGCCCACGAGCCACUCGCAAGCAGAAGUGGUUUCUCACGCAUUCCCCCGCUUGCACGCACGCACGAGUAUGCACAUACCACAAGAACACACUGGACGUCAAUGCUGUGCAUACACAAAUCGUGUCGAAUCCUCCAUUUCUCUUUUCUUGAUCACACACUCAUGGUGCGCAUGACUGUGUGCUCUCGCGUGCGCGUGUCUGUGUGCCGCAUGCUGAACCAUCGUCCAAUACUGAAGUGAAACCUGCACGGAGGAAAGCGAAACUUUUCUCCCCCUCCCCGGAAAAGAAAGAAGGUUGCACCGCUAACGACAUUUAACGUCUCGGCUCUUGCGGUGAUGGUGGGCCAGCUGUGCCCUCGCCGCACUUGGACUCUCUUUGCAGUUGCACGUGAUAGUAAGCGUGCCGUGUCGAGGUGCGGUGCAUCGGC
rnacentral:misc_RNA from 1 species